UGAUUCGGAAGACACUGUGGUACUAUAUGUUUUUUUCAAUGAAGAUACAGUAGGAAUAGUUUCUUCAGAAACAACAGUUGUUGUAGAUUGUUCAGGUAACGAGGAAUAUUGAAAAGUUGUUUCUGAAGUAAUAUCGACACUAAUAUUCAAAGGAGUUACACUUACAUUAGUUAGUGGCAUAAAAUUAAUCGUGGUUUCAUGCAAGGAAGCUAAAUUUGAUUCAGAUGAAUUUGUGAUGUUGUAUAUUUCUACUAAUAAAGGAGUAUCUAUGUAUGUAUUUUCUUUAA